GAUGAACGCUGACAGAAUGCUUAACACAUGCAAGUCGAUGGGGAAGUGGUGCUUGCACCCUGGUAACCAUGGCGGACGGGUGAGUAACGCGUAAGGAACUUACCUGCGGGACCGGGAUAACAGCAGGAAACUGCUGACAAGACCGGAUAAGGUCAUUAAGCUGCAUAGCUUAGUGAUGAAAGGAGACGCCUGCGGAGAGCCUUGCGUCCUAUUAGCUAGUUGGAGGGGUAACGGCCCACCAAGGCGAAGAUAGGUAGCCGGCCUGAGAGGGUGGACAGCCACAAGGGGACUGAGAUACGGCCCUUACUCCUACGGGAGGCAGCAGUGGGGAAUAUUGGACAAGGGGGGCAACCCUGAUCCAGCAAUUCUGUGUGCACGAAGACGGUUUUCGGAUUGUAAAGUGCUUUCAGCAGGGAAGAAGGAAGUGACGGUACCUGCAGAAGAAGCGACGGCUAAAUACGUG
rnacentral:rRNA from 1 species